UAACGGCCCACCAAGGCGACGAUCAGUAGCCGGCCUGAGAGGGUGAACGGCCACAUUGGGACUGAGACACGGCCCAAACUCCUACGGGAGGCAGCAUG
rnacentral:rRNA from 1 species